CUCAAAGAUUAAGCCAUGCAUGUCUAAGCAGAGCCCUUGAAUGGUAAAGCCGCGAAUGGCUCAUUACAACAGCCAUAGUUUAUUGGGUCUCCUUUUACUUGGAUAACUGAGCUAAUUGUUGAGCUAAUACACGCAAUAAAGCUCUGACCUCACGGGAGGAGCGCAUUUAUUAGAACAAAACCAAUCGGACUUCGGUCCGUCCAUUGGUGAAUCUAAAUAAUUUGGCUGAUCGCAUGGUCUCGCACCGGCGACUCACCUUUCAAAUGUCUGCCUUAUCACCUUUCGAUGGUAGUUUAUACGCCUACCAUGGGUUUUACGGGUAACGGAGAAUAAGGGUUCGACUCCGGAGAGGGAGCCUGAGAAACGGCUACCACAUCCAAGGAAGGCAGCAGGCACGCAAAUUACCCACUCCCGGCACGGGGAGGUAGUGACGAAAAAUAACGAGGCGGUUCUCUAUGAGGCCCGCCAUCGGAAUGGGUACAAUCUAAAUCCUUUAACGAGGAACUAUUGGAGGGCAAGUCUGGUGCCAGCAGCCGCGGUAAUUCCAGCUCCAAUAGCGUAUAUUAAAGUUGUUGCGGUUAAAAAGCUCGUAGUUGGAUCUGCGGCCGAGGAGAGCGGUCACCCGUUGGGUUGCUACUGCUUUUCCUGGCCUAAUUCUUCGGUUUUCCCUUGAUGCUCUUCAUUGAGUGUCUUGGGUGGCCGGAACGUUUACUUUGAAAAAAUUAGAGUGCUCAAGGCAAGCUAUUAGCUUGAAUAGUGGUGCAUGGAAUAAUAAAAGAGGAUAUUGGUCCGUUUUGUUGGUAAUGGUCCGAUAUAAUGAUAGAGGGGGACAAUCGGGGGCAUUCGUAUUGCGACGUUAGAGGUGAAAUUCUUGGAUCGUCGCAAGACGGACUACUGCGAAAGCAUUCGCCAAGAGUGUUUUCGUCAAUCAAGAACGAAAGUUAGAGGUUCGAAGGCGAUCAGAUACCGCCCUAGUUCUGACCGUAAA
rnacentral:rRNA from 1 species